rnacentral:other from 1 species
AGAGCCACCCAGUCCGCGCAGCGCCUUGGCAGCCGGAACGGGGCCGCCGUCGGGGAGCCCCAACACACGGUCCCCAGCUCAGCAUGAUGGACUUGGAGCUGCCGCCGCCGGGACUCCCGUCCCAGCAG